AUCCUUCGGUUCAUGAGCGUGAUGAUUGGGUGUUCAUGCUGUGUGCGUGAGAUGUGCCUCCCUCAGUCCUUGUUACGACGUCGGCACAUUACCCUUCUGAUC
rfam:Fukomys damarensis contig76549, whole genome shotgun sequence.